rnacentral:rRNA from 1 species
UACGUAGGGUGCAAGCGUUGUCCGGAAUUAUUGGGCGUAAAGAGCUCGUAGGCGGCCUGUCGCGUCGGCUGUGAAAACCCGGGGCUCAACCCCCGGGCCUGCAGUCGAUACGGGCAGGCUAGAGUCCGGCAGGGGAGACUGGAAUUCCUGGUGUAGCGGUGAAAUGCGCAGAUAUCAGGAGGAACACCGGUGGCGAAGGCGGGUCUCUGGGCCGGAACUGACGCUAAGGAGCGAAAGCGUGGGGAGCGAACAGG